ACCUGCAGUUCCCUGCAGAGGCCUCCUUUCCACUGCAGUCUCUGCCAAGUGGUUGUCACAGCAUUAAUUAAACUGGAAGAAUAAAGGCAUUGCAUGUCAUUUUCUAUAUUGGAUGCCUUCAUGUUAUGGACGUAUCUCCAUGGAGCAAUCUUGUAUAUAAACUGAAAACAAAUGCCUGUAUGUGGCAUCUGAGACUAUUACAGAAGAAAGAAAACAGGAAAGAAUAUAAGCCUUCUCUGUUUCUCAGAGUGGGUAGCACAUGAGUGAAAGCUGAGAUUAUCAGGUAAUCAAACUGAGGUCUGAUUCUUGGAUUACUCUGAUGUGGUAAGGCUGUCCUUCUCUAAACGGUUCAUCACACUGCAGGUUAAGAUCCAUCACUGAAUUCUAAAAUCAGUUGUGUGUAUUUCUCAGCAUUUUUACAAAG
rnacentral:lncRNA from 1 species